GUUUUCCCUGAGUCUGAUGUUCUUCUUUGCUGGUACCAUGUACUCCAAGCCAUUGUUCGGUGGUUGAUGAAGUCAGAUUCCAGUGUUAGUGGGCCACAGCGUUCAAGUAUCCGGAAAGAAAUUAUUGAUUACUUCAAAAAAAUGAAAGCUUGUCCUAUGAAGGCUGACUUUGACAGAAUGUCUAAACAAUUCCUAAAGGAAUUUUCUCACUACAAAGAGCUUUGCAAUUACUUCCAGAGGUACU